GCCAGAGCACAGUGACCCCAAGGCCAGUCCAUGAUUCAUACACCAUUGAGCAAACUGUUUCAGGAAGAGAAACGCAGAGCCAUGUAUGGUAAAUAGCAUGGUCACGUUGCCGAGCCAGAUGGCACUGAGGCAGGAGGUUGCAACACCCACCUCAAAGGAAUUCCAGAGAUGUGAGCCCCCUGGACCAAAAAGCAGGCACACAGCCAGGCCAAGUUAGGCCCCAAGAGGAUGGACAUCCGUCCACAACCCACACUGAAGCUCUCCCAUCCAGGAACAAAAGGGCAAAAGGCCUGGGAUCCUGAGCCAGGGAGUUUCAACUGCACCCCUGACCUCUCUCCCAAACUGUGGCAGGUUAAAAAAGCAAAACACAUGGACUUUGCUGCUGCUGCUGCUGCUGCUACUACUACUACUACUGCUGCUGAAAUCAUAGGAAAUGAAGGCUUGUAAAGAGCCGCCCUGAGGCAUGCAUGAUGCAUAGGACAUCAGUGCUAACUUUCUAAAGGGACUUGAUUUUCUCUCCUGAGAAGAAAGUACGAACUGCAUUACAGAUUUCAUGCAGAGGGUUAGGUUGGAAGAAAAUCUAAUAUUCUAUAGCUAUACAUGAAUUACAAAUGAUUGCUAAUUAUGCUAAGUGUUUAGAGAUUCUGAUUAUGUUGCAAGGUGUGGCAAGGUUAAACACUGCAGCAGUCCUUCCAAAUGCAUGAGGUCUUGGUCCUGGUAACAUCUUAUUUUUAAAACAUGGUCUUCCAAACCACUUGCAUCAAAACCACCUCAGAUCCUGAGAAAGUGCAAAUUCUUUCAUCCAUUCCUAAUGUAAUAAUCAGAAUCUUAGGGGUGGAGCCCUGAGCCUCACCAGAAGAUUCUUAGCAUCUCAUGAUACACAGGGUUUUCCCUGUCACAUUCCUCAUCUCCAAAACCGAAAUGCAUCACAGGUCACAAGGCAGCUCCAGACACUUGGGGUAAAAAUUAUUUAGGCUGCUUCUAUUUUACUAAAUUGCAACAAAAAGGAUAAAGUUUAAUUUUUUUUUUACUGUUUCACUCUAUGGGGAAUAAGGUCACUUUCAUCUCUGCCCAUAAGUAAGCAGUCCCUGAAUGAGAGACUGAGGGAAGAAACAGGAUAAUAUACUAGAAAAAAAAAAGUCAUCAGAUAAAGAAAAAGGAGCUUCUGAAAGGUGCAGAAGAAAAUUCAGGGGAUACAAAGAAUCAUUGUUGGAGUAAAGCUCCAUCUAAGCAAUGAAAUACGCAUGCCUAUAAAACUAAACAAAAAAUUCUAGAAAACCAUUAGGAUAAGGAGUUUGCAAAUUCAUGGUUUGAAAAUGAUGUUCAUAAUUAAAUUUCUAUUUUUCUAGACCAGAAGUUGCCUCCAUGCACUGUUUUAUCACUAGUUACUGGAAGAGUGGGUUCAAAUCCAAGUGCUCUCACCAUAAGGUCACCCUCCUUCUGCCUCCCACUAGUUGGGUUUAUGCCUCUUCUUAGAUCUUCUGGCUAGGUUAUCCUCAUCAAUAAAUCCCAUGCCUUUGCAAGACAUAAUCCUCCCCAAGUCUGAACCUCUUUUAACAUCAGCCAAUCCCUCCACGAUCAAAGGCUCUGCCUGAGAACUUACAAAGUACGUACUUUCAUUGCUCAUGGUUAUAAUCCUCAGUCACUUUGUGAUAAUAAUUUCUCUAUACUUUUCUUUCUUGAAAGGAGGGUUCUGCAGCCUCAGUACUCUUGACAUUUGGGGCCAAUUCUUUGAUGCUAGGACUGUCUUCUAUUUACUUAAUAUCUUCUCUGGCCUCUAUCCAUUCAGUGUCAGCACCCCCACAGUUGUGACGACCCAGAAUGUCUCUAGAUUUUGAGAAAUGUCCCCCAGAGGGACAAAAUUACCACCUGUUGAGAACUCUUGCUCCAAAGCUCAAACCUGAGUAUGCGUCCAAAUCAUCCAGAAGGCUUAUUAAAACCCAAAUGCUGGGUACCACCUCAGAGUUUUGACUAUAAGCUAGAGUAUGGCCUGAUGAUGUACAUCUAUAACAAGAUUCCAAGUGAUGCUACUGCUGUGUUUUGGAAACCACUUCUAAGGCCCAACUGGGAUCAUCUGGGUAGCUUUUAACAGGUUCUACCUAAGUCAGAAUCUCGAUGUGGUCCAGGCAUUAGUGUUUUAAAAAACCCCUGGUGAUUCUAACAUGGGUGGAAAACCACUCACUUAGGUUUUCAAACUCUUUCUAGAAACUCAGUUCUUUAACAACCUGAGAUAAAAUUUACUUUUCAUUUUUAGAUCACUUGAAGAUGCCUCCUUCAAAUCACCUAGAAGCAAAACAAUCAAACAAAAAUUAAGCAGGUGGUGCUUUAUCUUCCACUUUUUCCAAACCUAUAGACUGGGAUGAUCAAGGCUUCUCCUCUCACUCUUGAGGUCCUUUGCCAUCGCCCUAUGCCUUAGAGUGGGAAUCUUUAAUUUGCCCAGAUGAUCAACAAGAAAGUGUUCCUCUCCUUGUGGCUAAAUCUCUACCACUGCAACGGGCUACUUCCAUCCCAGCCAAGUUAUCAGAAGGCUGCAGCCUUUCAAACAAGAGAUGAUGAAUCUAUCCACUCUCCGUGUGUUGGCCCUCUCCUUGAGACCCAGCUGGACACCAGACUGACAUUUCAGAAGUUUAGGGCUCACAGUGGAGAAGAGUGACGAGAGUCACCUGACUGCUUCCUCCUUUCCUUGCGAGUUGGCACCCAGUGGAGUGAGCCCAUCUGUCCUUCCAUGUGAGAUAAGACCUAGAUGACUGAACAGCAGGCCUUUCAGGGCCCUCCUCAGGAGAGUAGAUGGGAUGAGAUCUAAUAAGUGGCAAGUUGUAAGAUCCAUCACAUCACUGACCCUCUGGGGAGAACUGGCUGAAAGUGACCGCAGGAUCAAACAGCCAGGAAGAAUGCAGCCCAGAGAUUCCCCAGACAAACCAACUGUAUCAGCCUCAUGUUUGGAGGAAGCUGGUUGCAAAGAAAGAACCUCAGUCAAGUCCCCUUUGAUGAGCCUAUAGGGAAAGCAAGCUCGAAAUGAGUGAGAUCCAAGAACCUGGAUUCCUAACUUGGAAAAAAAGCCACAACUUCCCUGGGGAGGGCAUUUCACUGGCUGGAGCUGUGAGUUCACACCAAGACAGGUGGCAAUGUCCUUAGGGCAUCAGGGGUCUCUGAUGCCUUCACAGCCCUGAGGAUGUGAUACCUGUAAUUUGGAUGAACCCCAGUCAUCCAUGGAAAAGAUUUUUAGAGACCCUAGGAAAGAUCCCUUCUGUUCAACUGUGCCCCCAAUUCCUUCAACAAAAAUCCUACAAUUAAAAAACAAAAAAAAGUUUGACUGGAAAUCUGUAGGUGACAUCCAAAGUAAGAGACAUCCUGACAUAGAAAGCAUUCUGGCAUGCAGAAUUUGACAGGAGAGUAAAGAGGACCCAGGCUUGGAGAGAGAAAAGAAGAUCCUGGGGAGCAACAGCAAGGAUGAGCAAACACUGGCCCCAAGGUGGGGAGACUGGCUUAGGCAUUUUGGUUUCUCCUGCUCGUCAACCAGAGCUGAAGUUUUCUCUCAGAUUCUAUAGCUCUUGAUUCUAAAGGGAGUGCCAUCAUUUGGUACCCUAAGGCCAUGAUUUGUGAUACUUAGUGGGCAAAGUCUGGCUCUUGUUAGAAUGAAGAUUCCCAGGUCGCAUCCCUAAGUGUCUAGUGAACUCUGGAAUCCUUCUGAUUAGGGGGACAUCUCCCAGGAGAUUCUGAGGCUCCAGGCUCCCUGCCUUAGGCACUCCUGGAAGAGAGAUGGGAACAAAGUCCAAGGAGACGUGGGAUAGGAUAUUCAGUCAUGAGGAACCAGACCCAGGCCUCCAUCUCCUGUCCAGUCCCAGGCAAAGUCUAGAACUCAAAACUUAACAAUUCAACCCAGGGAAGCAAGAGGAACAACAAAACAUAAGGAGUAAACCUCUCACAAAAGGUUGUGUUCAUGAAGGACUCCAGAGGGGCCUUUAAAUAACAUGCACCAGUGUAGAAGAAUAUAAUGUGCAGAAAAAGCUACUGGGGCUGGGGUCAUGGCUCAGUGGUACAGCAUUUCCUACCAUGUGCAAAGCCCUGGGAUUGAUCCCCAGCACCAUGAAAGAGAGAGAGAGAGAGAGAGAGAGAGAGAAGAGAGAGAAAUAAUAAUAAUAAUAACACCAAUAAUACAAUAAUAAUAAUACAAUACAAUAAUAAUAAUAAUAACAACAACUUCUUGGCUCUUAGUUUGAGUUAUAGCUACAUUGAAUGAAGGAAGGAAGCCAGGCACGGUGGCACAUACCCACAGAACCAUCUACUCAGGAGGCUUCGAUAAAAGGAUGGCUUGAGCCUGGGAGUUCAGGGCCAACCUGGGCAACAGAAUGAGAUUUCAUCUCAUUCUAGUUUAAUAACAACAACAACAAAAAACAAUAACAACAAAAAAAUGGAUGAAUUAUGUGUGGUAUGUUUGUGGUAUCAUAUUAGUGGGUCAAGGUCAUUCAAAGAGAAUCUGGAGGCAGGACAAAGACAUUGCUAUAUUCUGGAAGGCUGGGAAAAGAGGCCCCAUCCUACCCAGCAUAGCUUCCUGUACCUGGAGCCCCAGGAGCUAUGGGGACCUACUGAAAGCCAGGCCACUAUUUUGGCCUCGAGUUGCAUGCUUUAUGACCUUUCUGAUUAUUUUAUGGCCUGUGAGUGUUUAGUUUCCUCCAGGAGGAAAGCAGUAAUCCUUAAGCAGAGGGCCCUGGUCCUCAGCAUGUGGGCCUUGCUAAUUUUCACUCAGAGGGAGAACAUCUUGCCUCAGUUUCCUUAGGCAGCAUCUUACACAGAUCAGUGAGAGAGAAAAAUGUAAGGCGAUCGAAGAGUAGGGGGAUACCAAAUAAGAAAAGGUGCUUGAGUGAAAGAAAAAUGAAUCAACACCUUUGCUCCAAAUUCACAAGUUAAUCUACUCAGUUCACUGUCCCUUCUCAUUCAAGGACAGGAUGUUAAAACUGUUAAACUGUAGCUGUGUCCCUACUAUUUAUAACCGGAUCAGCAUUCUCAGGGGAGGCAACUGUCACCCCAGAGACACAGAGACCUUCUGUUUCUGCUCUCAGAAGUUUGCGUAUUACUUCCUUUCUCCCUUGACUCUCCAAGACCCAGGUCAAAGGCAGUCUCUCUUGGGGCUCAGACAAAGCCAUGUAUGUCAGUAAGAACUCUGAGUGACCUGCGUGAAGCAGCUGAUGAGAACAGUAAGGCUCCAAUUUUGUCUAGUUUAACCCACUCUUUCCUAUUGCACUCUGUCUAACAUAAACUCUAGCAAACAAAGCAAAGCAAAGGAAAAAAAAAUAGAUCUUAAGUAUACUUCCCAUGAUGACAAGGCAGUUGGAAAAAAAAAAGUUAGCAUUUUGAAAGGAAGCCAAUUUCAGAAUGCAAAGUUCAUCUCGAUGUGUCCAAAUUGUAGUUAGGAAUAUUGAAAUGUUAAAAUGAGAGUUUAUUAACUGGCCCCCUCAAUAUACAGCAGGCUUUUCACUCCAUGUUGACAGUUUAAUGGGGCAUUAUACCGUGGAGUUUAAACCACUCACUCAUUCUUUCAUCCAAAAGCUUGUUAUGGUGCCCCUUCUGUGUACAAGCUGUGGCACAGGGGAGCAUGCACAGAAGAAGAAAACGUAUACUCAUAUGUACACACCCCUCACCCUCUGGAUUAUAAGGUGGGCAUCCAGGAGGGUACGGGUGAAAAUCUCCACCCUUCCAUCUCUUUAGGCAACACACAAUGAUGACAGUGUCAUAAACUGAAAUUUCAUAUAUGUUUGAGUUUCAGUUUUUAAUCUAACAUCUUCCAAGACCAGUGGGCUUGAGGGUCUGCACAAUGACGAAUGAUUCUAAGUGGUGUUUAAAUUACACUCCGAUUGUCAGUUUGUUUGAGAGUCUGGACCUGUUGACACUAAACACCAUGAUGUGUGCUUGCUUAAUUAAGCAGUAGCUCUAAAUGUUUAGUAAGUCUCAUUCCUAAUUAUCUCUUCCACGUCUCCAGAGAAAAGGGAAUUAUUUAGUUAAUUUCUUCCACUGAAACUUGAAGUAUUAAUUCCCUGUGGUUUUCACUUCAGAUCUAAUUAUUAAAUUUCCUUUCACAUUUUGGGGUCAAACAGUCAGAUGAUAAAUUUUGGUCUAAUUUUCCCCCAAAACACGGUUAGGGAAUUUUUCAUUCGCUUUGUCCAUUUACCACAUUGAAAACUGACUUACAUAAUCUUAAAUCAAAUAACAAUUUGGCUUGUGAAAAUGUGCUAUGUGGGGUUAGAAUGAAAUAUUGAUUAAAUUGCAGGAGACAGCCUUUGUAAAUAGCUUCUGUUAUUAGCAUUUUCACAGUUUAUGAAGGGUUCUUCUUUAAAAAUAUGGAGAUUAGUUUUACUCCAAAUGUUAAAAAGGUUCUGAAUCUACAAGUUGCAGAACUGGACUGAAACACCAUCAAAAACCAUGCAAAAAAUUCUAAGGCAACAUCAUUCCUGCAAACAAUGCCAAUCUCAUGCUCUCUGGUGUGAAGUGCCCAUGCCAUGCCCUCAGGGUGAGCCCUUUCAGACUGGCCUAUCUCAGAGCUCUCCACCAGUGACUGUUGUGUGGCACCUGAGGCUGAGGUCUGUCCUUGAACAAGAGCCCCAUGGCUUCAUCUUGGAAAUUCUGCUGUCUACACCCGAAGAAACAGCCAGGCUUAGGAUGUCAUCCAACCUCCUACUGAAGCCAGAGGCAAUCCUUAUCCUGAGCAAAUCUACCAAAUUCCCAUUUCCUGCUAUAGACCAGACCAUGUGAGUGCCUUCAGAGGACAAAUCUGGGAAUAGUAGAACACCAAACAAGAUGUAGAAGACACAAAGUCAGGGAGACUCCCAAAGCUUGGGGAGAGCGGAGGAGGCAAUGAGAGGAGAGGAAAUUACUACAGAACGCAGGGGACAGAACACAAACACAAGGGCCCUGAUGUAGCGGCAGAGGGUAAGAGGGUGAAGGGCAUGUUGAGGGGCCAUCAGGAUGUUCCAGUCACGGGAAGACAGCGGCUUGAUUUAUAAACUGCACGCAAGACACACAGCAAGUGACCAGUCAACAUGGAAUGGGGAAGAGGGACACAGGGUCAGACACAACUUGGCAUCUACAGGGCAAAGUACGUUUCUUCAGAAAAUAUCAUUAUUUGAAAAAAUAAUUGCUACAGCUCGCUACCUACAAGUUGAGCAUCUCAAAUCUGAAAAUCCACAAUCUGAAAUGCUUUGAGAACUGUUUCAGAAUAAAGUACAUGAAAAUAUUCCAAAAAUCUGAAAAACAAAAUCCAAAAUCUGAAACCCUUCUGGUCCCAAGCAUUUAGGAUAAGGUCAAAGGUGAUCUCAGAAUUUACUCUGAAGAGGACAAGAACACUUGUCUUGGCUUAUAGGAACAUCUGAUGCUUGAAGUUUUUAAGGCAAAGAUGCUUAUUUUAAAUUGCUGCACCCAACUACAUUAAAAGAAAAACUGUUAGAUGAUUAUUUUUUUUUAACCUAAAGGCACCAAAAACCAAAGGAAUUUGAGAAUCUCUCUGUACUAGCUAUAAUGCCUAUCAGGUUAAAAAAAAAAAAUCUUCCCUUUCAUGGUCCCUUUGUCAGCCAUGGGCACCAGCCCAUACAAACUUAUUGAGAAGACCUCUGGGUUUAUUCUAAAGCUCUCCCUUGCCCAAUUAGCAAAGACUUCUUAUUUGAUGUCCUAAUGUCUCUUCAUUGCUACUGCCAAAUUUUUUCCUCUUAUCAUUUUAAGUUUAUGCAACUACAAAGCACUCUGCCUUUUCCCUGUCUAGUCUGGGCCCACAGAUCCACGAUCCAAGCAACCACCAGAGGAAUCCUUCAAAAGCUUUCCAUGGCUUAAAGCACUAGUGCAGAUUCCCUAACCUGCCUAGAGGUAAGAUUCCCCUCAACUGCAUAUUCCACACUAGAUUCUAUCCCAGUCUAAACAACCAGAAUCCCCUGGCAGAUGCUGGGGAACCUGCAUGUUAACAACGGCCCCAGUGACCUUGCACCUAAUGGAAGAAAAAGUAGGCCCAAAUCUCCAUCAUGUCAGAUUAGGCCCCAACUUCCUUAAUAAGACUCUCUAUGGUGCAAGAAUUAAAACCAAGAAUCAAUAAAUGGGAUGGAUUCAAACUAAAAAGCUUCUUCUCAGCCAAAGAAACAAUCAGUGAGGUGAAUAGAGAGCCUAAAGAAUGGGAGCAAAUCUUUACCACAAGCACAUCAGAUAGAGCACUAAUCUCUAGGAUAUAUAAAGCACUCAAAAAC